UAAAAAUUGAAACUUGUAUCCAUGUAUAGACUUGAAGGGGUUAUUUUGCAUGAGUUCAUACGUUUUGCUGCAAAUUAAGUCAGGUAAGUAAUUGGUUUUGAUGUGCACAAGCUAGAGCAUACCUAGAAGGUGGUAUGCAGUGGGUAGGGAUGGCAAUGGUAGGGUACUCAUGAAAAUCACUUGGCCCAAACCUGAAACCGAUUGACAUUCUUAAUGCCCAACCAACCAAACUUCAAUUGCACCAACAGCAACCAAACUCCCCUUCAUCUCCAUUUGUUUCAGCUCUUUGUCUUCUUCUUCUUCUUCACCUUUUUCUUCGUUUUUCUUACUUUCACAUCCACAGUUUCCUAGACAAUACCCUUUAUUCGAUACUGUUCAUAACAACUGGCGGAAUUUAUCUCUGUGUAUUUCCCCUGUUUUGCCAUCUUCUUCCUCUGUUCUUUUAUCUUCCUCUAAUGGGUUGCUUUGUUUUACUCGCCCAAGUUCUACUUCUUUCAUUAUAACUAAUGUUUUAGCUAGAUCUUCUAGGGUUUUAG
rnacentral:misc_RNA from 1 species